CCAGCCACUAGUAGUAGCAGCAGCCACACCUUUUCUAUUUUUCAUUCCCCUCUUCUCUCUCUCGUCCCCUGCACCUCCAGUCUCCUCCAUGUCUAUGCCUCCAAUUUCUCCAUUCUUCUCCAUUCGUCUCUCUCUGUUUCUUGAUCUUCUCACUCCAAGGAUUAAGGUUUGAUAGCAAUGGUUGGAAAUUAAGCUGGCCAGCUCAGUAUAAUACAUUACUGACAAACAGGAGAGUCACCGGCACUGCAGCUCGGCCUCACCCACUCACUCAUCCAUUAGUAAUCAUGCAACUUUGUAAGUGGAGUCGCAGUUGUGGGAGAGUCAGCUCGCAUUGACUUUUUGACCUUUUCCAUGGAAGGGAAGACUUCUCAUUAAUUAUAAGGAAAACUAAUGAAAAGGGUUUGAAAACUUUGAGUUUUAAUGAUAAUGACAAAAUAAAGGGUAAAGUGAAUAGUACCAGGAUUGACUUUUUAGUGUAAAAAUGUGGUUUUUCGUUAAAAUGAACAGUACCGAGUGCUUUUCGUUAAAAUUCCCUUAAUUAUAUUGCCACUCAUUUCUCACGACGCAAGAACUCAUUACAUAGCAUGAGAUAUAUUAUUACAGGGAGUGUAUCCCUUUGCUCUAAAUGAAUGGCGGUGCGAGGACUCCUAUUGUUUUUGUUAUCCUACUAGCUACUAGCUACACGUUAAUUUGUGGUUCGGUUCUGAGUACAUGCAGUUCUUUCUACUAAUGUUUUUGUUAUCCUACUGGCUUUUGACUACUGCUAACUCGCGGUUUUGUUCUGAAUGCACAUAAAAAUUGAAUAAUACUUGAUUACUCAAA